rnacentral:rRNA from 1 species
GAGUUUGAUCAUGGCUCAGAUUGAACGCUGGCGGCAUGCCUUACACAUGCAAGUCGAACGGCAGCACGGGAGCUUGCUCCUGGUGGCGAGUGGCGAACGGGUGAGUAAUGCAUCGGAACGUAUCCUGGAGUGGGGGAUAACGUAGCGAAAGUUACGCUAAUACCGCAUAUUCUGUGAGCAGGAAAGCGGGGGACCUUCGGGCCUCGCGCUCUUGGAGCGGCCGAUGUCGGAUUAGCUAGUUGGUGAGGUAAAGGCUCACCAAGGCGACGAUCCGUAGCAGGUCUGAGAGGAUGAUCUGCCACACUGGAACUGAGACACGGUCCAGACUCCUACGGGAGGCAGCAGUGGGGAAUUUUGGACAAUGGGGGCAACCCUGAUCCAGCCAUGCCGCGUGAGUGAGGAAGGCCUCGGUUGUAAG